UCAAAUUUUGUUUUAAUAAUUAUUAGCCACCAACACAAACGAGAAAAACGUUUUGGUUCCAGACCAUAGAAUUCCAGUUGAUGUUGGAGGAAUGAAAGAUCAUGUCAACCAAUAAUGAACUAUCAGAUACUCAGCGUAUGUUAUUGCAUGCCAUUAUGUUUUCGAGUCUUCUAUCCACUCUUUGUGAUGGAAUUUUUAGUUAUGACUUAUGUGGACCAUGUCAAUCAGAGUUGUUUUGUUGGCAGAGGUUAAAAAUUGUUAUCUUAAUUUGUAUAGAUGUUUGCAUGAUUGUAG